rnacentral:lncRNA from 1 species
CGGGGUAUCUCUGUAAAUGGUCUUCGAACUGUUUGCACAUGUGGUUCUGGUGAAUUUUCUGUGGUUACUACAGGAAUUUAAGAAUGUCUCUGCUAACGGGAAGGAUUGUGCAUAAUCUUUCAGUCAGUUUAAUUGAAGUCUGGAGCUGGCAUGUCAGUUAACUGCUAGUAGUCUGUAGUUAUUUAUGUAUUAUUGUCAUUUUUUUUUAUUUUCUUUGGUUACAUCUUCUGACAUCAGACUCGGAUUUCUCUUGAACUGAAUUCUAAUGUGCGUAUUGUUAUGCGUUUACUUUACAACAUUGUUUAGAGGUAUAGGGGGAGGGUUGAGAUCUCACAAACAUGUUUAACCCCGCCGCAUUUUUGCGCCUGUCCCAAGUCAGGAGCCUCUGGCCUUUGUAUUAUUUUAAUUUUAGUUUCUUGUGUACAAUUUGGAAAUUAGUAUGGCGUUCAUUAUCACUGGACUAGUAUAUAUUUGUUUAGGGGCCAGCUGAAGGACGCCUCCGGUGCGGGAAUUUUUCGCUACAUUGAAGACCUGUUGGUGACCCUCUGCUGUUGUUUUUUUUAUUUGGUCGGGUUGUUGUCUCUUUGACACAUUCCCCAUUUCCAUUCUCAAUUUUAAACUUAGUUAGUUUACAGAAU